rnacentral:rRNA from 1 species
GGAGUUUGGACCGUCUCUCAGUUCCAAUGUGGCCGAUCACCCUCUCAGGUCGGCUACCGAUCGUCGACUUGGUGGGCCGUUACCUCACCAACUAUCUAAUCGGACGCGAGCCCACCCCAUACCGGAUUGCUCCUUUGACCCCUAUGCCAUGUGACAUCGUGGUCUCAUGCGGUAUUAGCACCUGUUUCCAAGUGUUAUCCCCCUGUAUGGGACAGGUUGCUCACGCGUUACUCACCCGUCCGCCACUAAGAUACAACUGAAUCCUGCCGAAGCUCUCAUCUGUUGUAUCCCCGUUCGACUUGCAUGUGUUAAGCACGCCGCCAGCGUUCGUCCUGAGCCACGGAGUCAAACUACU